AUUUUAUAUUUUUUCAUAUCAGUUCUACCUACUUUGUUUACUCUUUUUUUCCACUAAAUGCUGUUCCAGAAAUCAGACUGACUUCCAUUUUAACUGCGUGCCUGCAGUAAGCUGUUUGACAGCAGUGGAUUCACUACUAAUUUCAGGAGAGCACAAGGAGAUACUAUUUGUUCUGAACAGAAAGGAACUCAAUGCUUCCAUGCAAUGUAAUGCAUUCAGGGUUGGCUUUCUGAGAAGACAGCUGCCCAGGACCGAGGCAGUGGCAGUCACAGAUCACUGAAGUAACACACGUAGUCAAGGGACCAUGCUAGCAAACAACCAGCCUUAGAGUGGAGAAUACACAUUGUAUCUUCUAUGCUGAUGGCUCCCUGUCUGUGACUCUGCACCACAAGUCAUACGUGAAGGUAUUCAAAGCAACAGGCAAAUACUACUAGAAUAAAUAACUGCGUCUCCAUAGGGUGAGUACUUCCUACUGCUACUACAUGUGAAUCGCAACAAACCACCUCAAUACAUACUUGCAAAUGUACAAAGUUAUCAAAGACAUACACCGUGGAUGUGCAAUUCAUGUCUGGAACUUCAGCCUCCAGAACAGCUCCCCUCCUCUUCACUGAAAGCUACAGGAACUUUAUCCUUUCUUUGGGCCAUUCAGGCCAGGACGGCAUUGCCCAGUAAUAAAAAAAAUGACAGAAUUUCCUUAUACCCUUCUAAAGACAACUGAAUUGUUCUUUUGUAAAGAUAACAACUUUCACUUAAAAUAAGCUUUAUAAUCUAUAAUUUUAAUACUUUUAUUUUCUAGUCACAAAACAUACCAGCAGAAAUGUACCAAACAUUUUGCAAUGAGUAACAUGUAUUGCCUUCUUUCUCAGAUAUCACUUCAUUUAGUUUCUCUCUGGAGCUGAUGACAUUUCAUUUAAAUAAAAUUAUUUGUGUGGGUGGAAAGUAUGGCCGAGUUUGACACCCGUACGAUGGAGAAGGAAGUCAUGAGAGGUCAAAGACACCUCAGAAGCUGCAGAAGCUGAUAUAAUCUACAGGGGGCUUAUUACUUACUGUAGAUUACAUGGUAUUAUAACCCACAACACAUACCUUUCAAGUGUGAUUUUUCUGGUCUUACUCAUCCUUCAGUUGAAUAAUAGUGAGUAUCAUUCUGUGCUUAUCUUUGGAACAUUUAACAAACAGGCUAGUUGAAAAACAGAGGCUGAUGACGUUUGAAGAGAGAAAGCAUGUUUGAUAUAUAAAGGUUGUGCAUACUGAUACUUUACUUUUAGCGUGUGGAAGAAUUAUACACUGCUGGCCUCAAACUGGAGAGGCUAUAUCCUCUGAGAAAUCACCAUAUGCUCAAAUGAUUUUCUUCCAUACACCAGGGACUAAAAAGCCAAAACAGAUACUAAACUAAAAAAAAAAAAUGCAGCUCAGGAAACGGAAAACAUCCAUUCCUCAAAGUCUGCAGUUUAAUUCACAUGUAUUUUAGACAAAAGUAUCUGUUUCUCAAGCUCAUUUUAGACAGAAUUAGUCUUAUGAAUGGGAAAAUAGUUGCGCAUCUAACAAUUUAAUUAAACAUAAGUUAUUGUGGAUAGCAAACAGUCAGGCAUCAGCUGAUUCUCAGCAGAGCAGAAGGCUAAAAGGGCACAUGCACUUUUAGACCAGGGUACAAAUGAAGAAAUUCAAGUUAAAUUGUCCUUCAGCAAAGAUGGUAAUUCUCUGACUGUAAAUACAUGAAAAAAUCCCAUUUUCUAACUUUAACAGCAUUUAAAAUCAUGUUUGGGUUAAGUACUCUGUUGAACACUUAGCUAGAUAACAAAGAAGAGGUGAAACUCAUUAAAAUCUCUCAAUGUGACCCAGCUUACUUAAUUGCAAUAGUAAUCAAUUGAAAUGCCAUCAUGGGGAUUAGGAAAUAUCCACCGCUAAUAUUUAUACUGGGCCGUAGUUCUAUAAACUGUCACCCUCAUUCUGCCUAUAGUUCACGUGCAGUCCUGCUGGGGACUUCACAGUUUUAGAGAUUUUGACCUCUCAGACUUUGCAUCCAGUCUCCACACUUGGCUCCUAAAUUAAUCUUUAACUUCUCCCUUUAAACGAACACUGCAGGUAGCAAAUGAGAGCUAAAACUCACUUGAACAUCUCCCUCUAGUGGUCAUUGUUAGUAAAGAAAAAGGAACUGAAAAACAGGAAAUGCACAUGAGCAAAGCAUUCAACUUCAUUGGAAGACAGCUCUAAAGUGGCAAAGUAUCAAAAAAUAAUAUUCUAUUUCUCCUAAUGGACUGCUGGAGCUGAACUCAUUUUAACAUUGAAUAAAAGGUUUGAUUAAACAUUCUAAUCUAAUAGUAAUAACUCUUAGUUAUACAGUUAUAUAUAGUAAUAACUCUCCCUCUAAUGUUUGCACUGAAGGAAAUUCAUUGAAUUUCAUGGCUUAGUCACAUUUCCAAACUUGUCCAAGAUUUUUAUAAUUGUUUAUGAGAC